AAGCAAGCAAGCCUUGUAGAUGUUCAAUAUAAUAGUCGCUGUAAACGGACUCGUAAAGCUUUAUAGUUUACACAGGUGGUUUAUGGAAACUGUUAGCGACAUAGGAUGAGAUAGACAGUUACCAUAUUCUCCAAUCUGGGCGCGUUAAGCAUCACUGGUCCACGCGCUGCCUCCAGUCUCCCUGCAGUCGAAGGGAGGAGAGCGAGACAAUACGCAGCACCUCCAUACAUGUAGUGAUGCAACUGUUGUAUUAAGGUUUCAUAUAUUGUAUAUUUCUAGAAUUCCUUCAUCUGAGAGGGAGGAGAACCCUUAGACACUCGGGACAGGUCGGUCGGCGCUUCUACGGCAGCAAAGAAUUCAAGAGCUGAAGACUGACUGUAGCAGAGUUGUAGGGCUACCGUAAAGCGAGCACUCGACGGUUUCAUUAGAUGCGUUUGCAGAGAAGUAAAGCAUGACAACAUACUCCGCGGGGUAAAACGACGACAUUAUGUUUUGACCAUCGACACUUUGACCUGUGAGAGAGAGGAGAGUCCUAUAAUGGCCCAUAGGAUAAGCAGUAAAAGUAAGUACAUCAGGAUGGAUUUACUAUCUUUGUGACCCACUCCCUGGUCUCCAUACUGUGGUUCAUUAAUAGUGGGUUUUAAAAUAUAUACUGUAUGUUGAUCAAUACUGCAUUACAAUUAGGGCUGUGAUGGUCAUGGAAUUCUGGAUGACGGUUGUUGGUCAGCCAAAUUACUGUGGUCACCGUUAUAAUAAUUUGUAUAGCUCCUGACUGCAUGUGCUGCUGCAGAAAGUAGGCAUUACCUAGGCAACCAAAGACUCAUUUGCUACAACACCUUGCUUGUUUCAGCAAGGAGAAACAAAGUUUCAUCAUGUUGUAAA
rnacentral:lncRNA from 13 species